UUUCGGAGGGCGGAGCCUUGGGCAGGGAGGCUGGCGGAGCCCCCGGGGUGGUGGCUCUUGGGAUAUGGGGUUUGCUUAACAAAGGGUUGCCUAAUGGAUUGAUUUCUGGGCGGGCGUUUGGCCCAACGGUUCAGCCACUCGUUAAGAUGCCCGCAUCCGAUAUUGUAGUGCGAGAUUCUGCUCCUGGUUUAGCUGCCGAUUCCAGCGUCCUGCAGAUGCACAGCCUCCGAGUUCUUGGCUCCCUGACGCACUCGUGGGGGACCCGGAUGGAGCUCCCCGCUCUUGGCCCAGCCCCGACUGCUGCGGGCAUCUGGGUAGUGAGCCAGCAGCCCUGUUUAUGUCAUGGAUUGAACUGUCUCAACAUCUUUGUUCCCUUCAAGCUCUACUGUGGGGAGCAACUGGGAGCAACUCGGACUAGACUAAGUUACUGGAAUUAAGACUUAUUCUAUGCAUCUGCUUUCCCACAAUAUGGCGCUGAGAAGGGAAACAGCUUCUACACAGCUGCCUCCAGUUCAACCAAUAAACUGUGGGACCUGCUCCUGAUUGGAGGAGAGCAGCGUACUCGGUGUGUGGGCAGCCGAGUUGGGGUUGGCGGAGGAGGACUAUAAAGGAGAGAGACAGCAUGCACCAGGAACAUCUAAGGGGAACAUCUGAAGGAACACCUGUGCAGCCCCCAAGAGAGCCGGCCGGCGGUCCCCCGCGGAAGUGGGGAAUGUGGCAGGGGGAACCGCCCUUCCAUGGAGGUGGAAGGGUCGGUAGCCAACCCGGGAAGAACCAGCAGCAAACCCGGGGAGGGCCGAGCAGACAAAAGAACAGCACAGGGUCCUGUGUCGUUCCUCCACGAAGACAGGGAGCGACAUAAUGGUGCCGUGACUCGGAUAUGAAGCCUAGGCAGGGUUUAGUGUCAUUCCUCCACGAAGAGGGGGAGCGACAUAAUGGUGCCGUGACUCGGAUAUGAAGCCUAGGCUGGGCUUAGUGUCGUUCCUCCACGAAGACGGGGAGCGACAUAAUGGUGCCGUGACUCGGAUAGGAAACCUAGGAGGGAAGAAACGGGAAGAAGUGGAAAAUACCGGAGAGAGAGACUAGCAAAGAGCCUAGGGAAAAGCCGGACAGAAAAGGUGCCGGAAGAAGCUAUCGAAAGCCUAGGCUUAGACUCGGAUAUGGACUGUGGGAAAGAAGUUAGGAUUUAAAGUGAAAGCAAAGCCGGCGCCGUGGCUCAAUAGGCUAAUCCUCCACCUUGCGGCGCCGGCACACCGGGUUCUAGUCCCGGUCUGGGCGCCGGAUUCUGUCCCGGUUGCCCCUCUUCCAGGCCAGCUCUCUGCUAUGGCCAGGGAGUGCAGUGGAGGAUGGCCCAGGUGCUUGGGCCCUGCACCCCAUGGGAGACCAGGAAAAGCACCUGGAUCCUGGCUCCUGCCAUCAGAUCAGCGCGGUGCGCCAGCUGCAGCGGCGGCCAUUGGAGGGUGAACCAACGGCAAAGGAAGACCUUUCUCUCUCUGUCUCUCUCUCUCACUGUCCACUCUGCCUGUCAAAAAAAAAAAAAAAUAAAUAAA